UCAUCCAAACGUUCCCAGAACAUUCUGGUAAUGUUACUUUAAGUCAUACUGUAGUCACUGAAAGAAAUUUGGAGUAAGAAAAGACGGUGAGACUAGAAUUUAUAUAUUUGUCCAAUUUUCCUCAACUAUAAACAUGACUUGUCAAUAUAUACGUAAAAGGAAGUAAUAACAUUAUGAUAAAUAUUU